rnacentral:tRNA from 1 species
UCCGAGGUAGCUCAAUGGUAGAGCAGCGGCCUGUUAAGCCGUUGGUUGCGAGUUCGAAUCUCGCCCUCGGAG